UACAGCUGGUGCAAUCUGGGGAAAGCUCAUGGACGCAAAAUUUGUAUUCUUGCCGAUGAAAGGUGUCAUAUUUUUGCCUGAUGUCGUUUUUAACACUUUGCUCGAUGAUUUUGCUGCUCCAAGGAAGAUGGAGGAUGGACAUGGGCUCCUAAAAGAGAUGCAGCAGAAGGGAUGUGAACCUCAUGCAGUUUUGUACACCGCUCUGAUCCAGGCACUCUGUUCAAGGGAGAGAAUGGACUAGGUUAUGCAGGUGUUUCUGGAAAUGAAGCAUAAUGUAUCGCAGCUGAUGCCAUGACAUACACGCCAUUCUCAUUAGUGGGUCUUGUAAGUCAGGGAAGACUCCUAGAGGGCAUGAGUUCCUCGAUGCAAUGAUGAAAGCAAGGAUUGAGACCAGACUCAUGUGCUUACUUUUACAUGUUAGCUGGUCACGUGAUGAAGGAACAAUUGGAGGAGUCGUUGGAGCUCAUGAGUACGAUAUCCAAAGCUGGCUGUCUAAUAUUGGGGAGCUUCAACGGUCACUAUAUGGAAUGAGAUGGAAGGCUUAGUCUGAAACAUGUUUGGAUGUGCUCGAUGCUUGGCUAAUGACUCAGCCUGAUACAUUUGAAAGCUCAUGAAGGGUUUGAAUAAGCCGGAUGACUGGCAAAUUGCAGCUUAAAUAUUGGAGAAGAUGAGGAAGAUGGCAUAGGAGAGGCACAGUGCUUUCAAAAUGUAUGAAAGGUGAAGGGUGACAGAC
rnacentral:lncRNA from 1 species